CCCCUAGAUGUUCGGGGCCGCACGCGCGCUACACUGAAGGAAUCAGCACGUCUUUCUCCUUGUCCGAAAGGACUGGGUAACCCGCUGAACCUCCUUCGUGCUAGGGAUUGGGGCUUGUAAUUCUUCCCCAUGAACGAGGAAUUCCCAGUAAGCGCGAGUCAUAAGCUCGCGUUGAUUACGUCCCUGCCCUUUGUACACACCGCCCGUCGCUACUACCGAUUGGAUGGUUUAGUGAGAUCCUCGGAUUGGUCCCGGCGCGGCCUCUGGUCGUGCCGGAGUGCCGAAAAGAAUGUCGAACUUGAUCAUCUAGAGGAAGUAAAAGUCGUAACA
rnacentral:rRNA from 1 species